AUAAGAAUCAUCUGGAAAGCUUGUUUAAACACAGUUUCCUGGGCCCCAUCCCCAGACAUUCUGAUUCAGUAGGUGAGGGAAGGGUCCAUGAAUUUGCAUUUCUAACAAGUUCCCAGGUGAUGCUGCU
rnacentral:pre_miRNA from 1 species